AAAUAUUCAGACUUUUUCAGAACAAAAUGUCAAGGAUCCAGUCUGAUCGGAAUAGUUAUAUGUGUUACGUGGAAACAAAGAAACUUCGCAAACUUUCAUUUUGUUCACACGACAAGAGUUCUGUAUCUGAUUGUACAUGUGGAGAAAAUUUAGAAAGCACUUUUGACUGGAGAUGGGACAAGGAAAAUUCCUCUGCAUUUAUUUCACCUUGUGGGACUUCUGUAAAGUUCCAUCCCGUCUUUAGCUCCGGGACAUCUGUAGCCAUAGGGGAUGAACCGCUUGUAUCUGGAUUUCAAUAUUACUGGGAAGUAAAGCUGACCAGCCCCGCUUAUGGAACUGAUGUUAUGAUUGGUCUCGCCACCAGUGACGCCAACCUUAAUUCCAACAGAAACCAUUUCUCUAGUAUAAUAGGACGGGACAACGAGAGCUGGGGCUUUUCAUAUCAAGGAUACACUCAGCAUUCUGGUGUUAGGCAUAAGUAUGUUUGUCGUGGUCGACCUAACUCUCCCCUUCAGGAAUCGAUCUGGUCCCUUGGUUCCUUGGUAGGACUCCAUCUUGAUACUUUCAGGGGCACUGUAGAGUUCUAUGUUAACAGAAAACCUUGUGGAAUAGCUUAUCAAGGUCUCAAGAAUAAAACCCUGUUUCCCGUGGUUAGUUCUACGGCUGCAAAAUCAGGUUUGAAGUUGACCUGCGCCGCUUCACUUCCCACUUCCCUUCAGUUCUAUUCUAUUAAACAAUAUUCUCAGAAGUAUAGUCCAACCGGAAGUACUCUACUCCUAUGCCUUCCUCCUGGUCUUGCUAAAUCUACUCUCCAUAAAUAUUGGUUCUUUUUCCAUCUGAGUCAGAAUACAUGGGAUGAUAAAUUCUUGAAAGAUGAUUCUUUUGAUAUCUCGAGUGCAGCUGAUACAUCAGGAUCCUACUCUGCAAGCUCAGGCGGAAAAUCCUCUAGUUCUCACAGAAAAUCCUCCAGUAGUCCAGACACAAGAACCUCAAGUAAAACUAAACGGAAAGUGGAGGAAAAUGAUUCCUCCGAUGAAGAAUAUGCUUUCGGUGAUAAUAAGAAACUCAGGUCCUAUAAGAAGGAACUGUCAAGACGGCAAGUUCUGCAAGAGAAAGAUGACCCAGAGAAACAAAGACAAGAUGGAAUUGAUGAUACUGAUGUAUCUUAUGCUCUUGAUGAAAGUGGACCCUGCUGCUCACAGGAUGUACAUCUAAGAGCUUCAGAGAACAAGAAAAUACCCCAAAACACCUCUGAGACUAUUUCUCCGGAAAAGUUGAAAAGAGAAUUUAAGUUGUGUCGUGUAUCUGAGACUACAGCAGGUCCUAAACAGUUAUCUGAUGAGCAAGCAGUAGAAGGGGAGAAGAGUAAAACUCGUGAUUCUGAGUCCAAGAGUAGUAGAAAAGUGACCUACUAUACUCCUGAAGAGCUGGAAAAAAUGCCUGAAACUAGAAACGCUAGGAGGGAUAGGGAACGCAGGGAAACCAUGUACAUGGCUAAGUUGAAGGAGAAAGAACGAAUCCGUCAGAGAAAGCUGAAAAGAUUGAGAAAAAAAUCCUCUAAAAAAUCUGAUAAUGAACCCCGGAACACUGCAGAAGCUUCUGGGACAUCGCUAACUAAUGAAUUUGCUGCCUCCGCAAGUCCCAAGCAGCGUAAAAAGUUUGUGUUGACAAAAAAUGUCUUCCCAAAAUGAUAAUACGUUCGCCGACUAUUCCUAAUUUACGCAAUAUUUUUUUAUGGAUAGUUGUUUUAACCUACUACGCAAUUAAAUAACUUUGUUUGCAGAUUUAAAAACUAUUUGCGAUUAAUGUUUGACAGGAAUUGAUCAAAAUAUCGUCUAGUUUUUCAGAAUUAAUUAAUGGCAGCAAUAUAAAAUAAGUAUAAUGUUAACUAUUACAGUUUAUAAGUAAAAUUUUAAAUAUUGAUAUAAAAUCUACAGAAACCCUCCCCCCCCUCCCUUACUGGGCAGGGAGUCAGCUGCCAUACCAGUUCUUGUUCUAUUGCGGUAUUCAACCCCAACACGAUUAGACGCAUUUUAAUCUUUUCAAAACUUUAACGUGUGCAUUUAUUAUGAUUUACUUCGCAAUUCAUUCAGUUUUUUCAUCCAGACUAAACCGUUAAUAUGAAAUCACUUAUAUAUGUUUUAUUUAGUUAUUAAUCGAGUUUGAAAAUAUUUAUGAAUUUAUAUUUUCAGA
rnacentral:misc_RNA from 1 species